GAUGAAGAACGUAGCGAAAUGCGAUAAGUAAUGCGAAUUGCAGAAUUUCCGUGAGUCAUCGAAUCUUUGAACGCACAUUGCGCCCCUUGGUAUUCCAUGGGGCAUGCCUGUUCGAGCGUCAUUUGUACCUUCAAGCUCUGCUUGGUGUUGGGUGUUUGUCUCGCCUUUGCGUGUAGACUCGCCUUAAAACCAUUGGCAGCCGGCGUAUUGAUUUCGGAGCGCAGUACAUCUCGCGCUUUGCACUCAGAACGACGACGUCCAAAAGUACAUUUUUACACUCUUGACCUCGGAUCAGGUAGGGAUACCCGCUGAACUUAAGCAUAUCAAUAAGCGGAGGA
rnacentral:misc_RNA from 1 species